AUCAUGGCUCAGGACACGCUGGCGGCGUGCCUAACACAUGCAAGUCGAACGGGGUUAACCUUCGGGUUAACUUAGUGGCAACGGGUGAGUAACGCGUGAGGAACCUACCUUUCAGUGGGGGACAACAGUUGGAAACGACUGCUAAUACCUGAUGGUGUUCAAAUUUCGCAUGUUAUUUGAACUAAAGAUUUAUCGGUAACGGAUGGGGAUGCGUGACAUUAGGUAGAUGGCGGGGUAACGGCCCACCAUGCCUACGAUGUCUAGGGGUUCUGAGAGGAAGGUCCCCCACACUGGAACUGAGACACGGUCCAGACUCCUACGGGAGGCAGCAGUGAGGAAUAUUGGUCAAUGGUCGGAAGACUGAACCAGCCAAGUAGCGUGAAGGAUGAAGGUUCUAUGGAUUGUAAACUUCUUUUAUGCGGGAAUAAAACCACCUACGUGUAGGUGCUUGUAUGUACCGUAUGAAUAAGCAUCGGCUAACUCCGUG
rnacentral:rRNA from 1 species